rfam:Marinomonas sp. S3726 contig0046, whole genome shotgun sequence.
GCAUGGUAGAGGAGCGUUCUGUAAGCCGUUGAAGGUCAAGCUGUAAGGCAGGCUGGAGGUAUCAGAAGUGCGAAUGUUGACAUGAGUAACGAUAAGGGGAGUGAAAAACUUCCCCGCCGGAAGACCAAGGUUUCCUGUCCCAUGUUAAUCAGGGCAGGGUGAGUCGGCCCCUAAGGCGAGGCAGAAAUGCGUAGUCGAUGGGAAACAGGUUAAUAUUCCUGUACUUGCAUAUAUUGCGAUGGAGAGACGGAGAAGGCUAGGCCAGCACAGCGAUGGUUGUCUGUGUUUAAGGCGGUAGGCUGGUGACUUAGGUAAAUCCGGGUUGCCUUAAGGCCGAGAACUGAUGACGAGCCCUCUUUUGGGUGAAGUGGUUGAUGCCAUGCUUCCAGGAAAAACUUCUAAGCUUCAGAUAUAUGGGAACCGUACCCCAAACCGACACAGGUGGUCAGGUAGAGAAUACCAAGGCGCUUGAGAGAACUCUGGUGAAGGAACUAGGCAAAAUGGUACCGUAACUUCGGGAGAAGGUACGCCGAUUUUGGUGAUGGGAUUUACUCCUUAAGCUGAGAUUGGUCGAAGAUACCAGGUGGCUGCGACUGUUUAUUAAAAACACAGCACUCUGCAAACACGAAAGUGGACGUAUAGGGUGUGACGCCUGCCCGGUGCUUGAAGGUUAAUUGAUGGGGUUAGCAUUAGCGAAGCUCUUGAUCGAAGCCCAAGUAAACGGCGGCCGUAACUAUAACGGUCCUAAGGUAGCGAAAUUCCUUGUCGGGUAAGUUCCGACCUGCACGAAUGGCGUAACGAUGGCCACACUGUCUCCACCAGAGACUCAGUGAAAUUGAAAUCGCAGUGAAGAUGCUGUGUAUCCGCGGCUAGACGGAAAGACCCCGUGAACCUUUACUAUAGCUUCACAGUGAACUUUGAACCUACUUGUGUAGGAUAGGUGGGAGGCUUUGAAACCAAGACGCUAGUUUUGGUGGAGCCACUCUUGAAAUACCACCCUGGUAUGUUUGAGGUUCUAACUCAGGUCCCUAAUCGGGAUCGAGGACACUGUGUGGUGGGUAGUUUGACUGGGGCGGUCUCCUCCCAAAGAGUAACGGAGGAGCACGAAGGUGUGCUCAGCAUGGUCGGAAAUCAUGCGAAGAGUGUAAAGGCAAAAGCGCGCUUAACUGCGAGACAGACACGUCGAGCAGGUACGAAAGUAGGUCUUAGUGAUCCGGUGGUUCUGUAUGGAAGGGCCAUCGCUCAACGGAUAAAAGGUACUCCGGGGAUAACAGGCUGAUACCGCCCAAGAGUUCACAUCGACGGCGGUGUUUGGCACCUCGAUGUCGGCUCAUCACAUCCUGGGGCUGAAGCCGGUCCCAAGGGUAUGGCUGUUCGCCAUUUAAAGUGGUACGCGAGCUGGGUUUAGAACGUCGUGAGACAGUUCGGUCCCUAUCUGCCGUGGACGUUUGAGAUUUGAGAGGAGCUGCUCCUAGUACGAGAGGACCGGAGUGGACGAACCUCUGGUGUUCCGGUUGUCACGCCAGUGGCAUUGCCGGGUAGCUACGUUCGGACGGGAUAACCGCUGAAAGCAUCUAAGCGGGAAGCCUCCCUCAAGAUGAGAUCUCACUGGAACUUUAAGUUCCCUAAAGAGCCGUUGAAGACUACGACGUUGAUAGGCUGGGUGUGUAAGCGUUGUGAGGCGUUGAGCUAACCAGUACUAAUUGCUCGUGAGGCUUGACCAU